CUGACCUCGCUAGAUCAUUGAUGUUAUAUAGACUAUUGAUGCCAUUAUCUUUGUUUGACACUGUUUAUUUAGCGGACCUCCUGAAAUGGAAAAUGAUGGCACCUAAUUCUAGGGGUUUUAUUAACCGGAAAUGACAUUUGGAGCACUUAGAUGUCAAUGGAGCACUUGAGGUUCAUGGAGCAAGUGAUAAAGAAACGGAUCAUCUGAGAUGGCUUUGGAUCAUCAGACAAAGGAACGGAUCAAGUGACAAAGGAACGUAUCCUCCAAAAGGAUGUUUGGAGCAACUUGGAGUGGUUUGGAGCAACAUGGAGCAACGUGGAGCACUUGAGCAACAUGGAGCAACUUGGAGCAGUUGGAGCAACAUGGAAUACUUGGAGCAACUUGGAGCACUAGGAGCAACAUGGAGCACUUAGAGAAACAUGGAACACUUGGAGCACUUGGAGCAACAUGGAUCAACUUGGAGCACUUGGAGCAACAUGGAAUAUCAUGUUGCAUCAUGUAGAAGGAAGUUGUGCCAUCCUUGGGGAAGUUGCGCCAAGGUGGUGUUGAGCCAUCAAGAUGUUGUUGCUCCACCAAGAAGGGAAGUUGCCCCAUAAAGAUCCUAUUGCUCCGUCAAGAAGGGAAGUUACACCAUGAAGGAGAUGUUGUGCCUUCAUGGACCUUCUUGGUAUAUGAUACAACAUCUUGAUUCCUUUGUUGUGCGAUAUUGAUCCAUGUUUGAUUAGAAGAUGAUCAUGCUCAAGAAAUACACCAUGUUGUGCCACCAUGAUGUAUGUUAGGCCAUUAGUGAUCAUGAUGCUCCACAUGUGCAUCAUGUUGCUCCAUUAUGGUUACGGUGAUCCAUCAUGUGCGUUUAUGAUGCUCAUGGGUUGUAUGACAUGGACGGAUAUUCUAGAAGAUGUUGCAUGGCAGAAUAUAAUUGCUUGUCAAUGUAAUGCCCGCAGAUUCGGACUA